CUCCUGGAGUGAGUGAGGAAGUGCUUUAACAGCCGCCUUUGCACUCCGCACAGGAUGGCUGCAGGGAAUGUACUCAGACAUGCCCCAGAGACAGCUGCCCAGGGUGACUGAGGUACCUGUGAGAUUGAAACCAGAAAGGAAGGAGAGGCUGUUUCUACAGGUGUCACAGAAAAAAUCGAUACUGAGCCACGGAUUAUUGGAUCCCAUAGAACCGUGGAGACUUGGCAGUGAAAUUCUUCCAAAGUUUCCUCUGGAUGUCUGAAAGUUGAAAGGAAAAAAACCAAAGCUGUUCCUAAGUCCUUGGUUGUUUUACCGCAUCACUUAGCAGUCCAUCUGCACAGGCAGAGGUGUUCCUGGUUUGGCAACUAUAAAUCCUGUGUUAAGUCAGCUGAAGAACAUUUUACACAUCGCUCAUCCUAUUAUGAGCUGCUCUUCCGUCUCUCAACAAGCCUAAACGUUUUAGUUUGGCUGAAUCACUAAAGGCUGCGUACAAUCUUUACUGAAACUUGGUCACCUACACAGUAUGCUGACUCUGGUUGUACCCCGUGUCACUGUUCUGUGCAACACAACCCACCAGCGGGCACAGAAUUGUUCACAGAAUAACUGAAAGUUUUUGGAUUUUCCAUUUAAUGAGCUAAAGGACAGAAGUAGCAAUAAGGCCGCCUGGCUACAUUUUCACAGUGCCACCAACUGCGAGUUAAGCUGACAAACAUUUUGAGAGCUUGGCCCAUUUCAUUCACAGCAGGAUAGCAGGAGUUAACGAACAAGGAGUAAACUCAAAAUUGUGCUUUUAUUGCACAUUUGCAUUGAAUCUUAGGACAGAAAAUGGCUUACAUUCUGCUCAGCAAGCGGGUGACUGAUUGUCCCUGCCAGCUGGCUAAUAUCAUAAUUAACAAAGUUGCUCCCACAUCUGCAAAGUUUAAUCGAAAAAUUUACCAGUGGUAUGAUGGCAUUGUCACCAAGAUCACAAGGGACUCGGAGUCAGCUUCUGCUCCAGGUGGAACGGCAGGGCUGUGUGGCCGAGAGGAGAAAGUGGGGUACUUGUUCAGCCAAAGCGUGCCCACCCUGCACACAGAGCCUCAUCUAUUUCUUGACCAAUAAAUUCACAGAUGAUAUCCUCCUACUGUCCCACGGAUGAAGGUUAUGCUUCGCAUCACCCGCCAGGGAGGAUCAUCUCUCAUGAAAACUUUCAAAUUUGAUUUUGAAAAUUUAUUCAGAAAAAAAAUUUAAGCCACGCUUUUUCCCAACACAAGAAAUGAUAUGCUCCAGAGAAUCCUCUAAUUCACAGAAAAUGGACUGGGAUAACAUUUGGGUUCUCAUUCUACCACAGUCCUCUUGAGAAGGACAGCCAGGAGGCUAAUAAUGAAGGGGCCAGGGAUGGAGGCCAAUGCUACAAGGGUUAUCUCUCAACCUCAGAUGUUGGAUAAGUCGAAGGAGGCAGCAUCUGGAUGACGUUCAGAAAGGCUGGAGUGAUUAUUUGGAAGAGAAAAGCCUGCCUGUUCUUUCAAAGGUACAUGAAUGCUGUCGAGGCCUUCCCACCUAACAGUGCAGCCUUAGAAUCCUGCCUUAGACAAAGGACACACAGGAGCUCCACCACACCUAAAACCACGCUUUGAAGGAUCUGCCAAGCUCACUCUUAAUCAUGAGAAAGAAAUUACCCACAUGGAGACAGCAGAAAAUGAGAAAGUAGAGAUCGUGCUGAGAAUAAUUCCAGCGAGUGCCAAGGGGCUAGUUGAGGAAUGGCUUCAUGAGAUGUUACUCUUUCUAGAACACCACCUUUGGAUCUAAGCUGGACCUUUGAGAAAGAAAAGACUUCAGUGAAAGACCCCUUUACAUACAGUUUAAUUACCUUUUAUCUGAACUGCUUAAUACGUACUAUCCAACUAUAUUCUUCUUUUCUGCCUCUUGUGUAUUUUUUUUGCCUGAACUGCUUUAAUAUUGACUAUUGAACUACCUAGUCAUUCUGAAAUUUUAAAAGAGAACUCUAAUAAAAAGC